GGGUGCUUGAGGCUGUUUGCCUGAAGCAUUGCUGGAAGGGUAAACAGAAGAAAGCCCCACUCAACAUAACGUUGAUGUGAGGCUACCCAACCAACACAACUCAACCCUGUGAGGGUAGCCUCUUCAUCGCUGGAAAGCAAUAAGGAGGCUGGAAUG
rfam:Leclercia adecarboxylata strain I1 Leclercia_S84_R1__paired__contig_27, whole genome shotgun sequence.